UACCCUUCUUGAGGCCGUCAAAAAACGAUUCGCAACCAUCGAGGAAGAUCCCUUGUAUUCAGUUGCAACUCUCUUGGAUCCACGUUUCAAAGACAGAUACUUCUCAAGUGCAGACAACAUCAAGCAUGCAAAGGAUGCUCUGACAAUAGAGAUGAAGAUUGAGAAGUCACUGAAAAUGACCACCACAGCUGUAGCAGAGACAAUAGCA